rnacentral:rRNA from 1 species
GAUGAACGCUGGCGGCGUGCCUAAUACAUGCAAGUCGAGCGAACAGACGAGGAGCUUGCUCCUCUGACGUUAGCGGCGGACGGGUGAGUAACACGUGGAUAACCUACCUAUAAGACUGGGAUAACUUCGGGAAACCGGAGCUAAUACCGGAUAAUAUAUUGAACCGCAUGGUUCAAUGGUGAAAUACGGUUUUGCUGUCACUUAUCGAUGGAUCCGCGCCGCAUUAGCUAGUUGGUAAGGUAACGGCUUACCAAGGCAACGAUGCGUAGCCGACCUGAGAGGGUGAUCGGCCACACUGGAACUGAGACACGGUCCAGACUCCUACGGGAGGCAGCAGUAGGGAAUCUUCCGCAAAGGGCGAAAGCCUGACGGAGCAACGCCGCGUGAGUGAUGAAGGUCUUCGGAUCGUAAAACUCUGUUAUUAGGGAAGAACAAAUGUGUAAGUAACUAUGCACGUCUUGACGGUACCUAAUCAGAAAGCCACGGCUAACUACGUG